CCUCGUGCUUGUUGUGGAGGAAGUGACGAAAUGUAUCCCAUCAUGGCCCAACUCCAGCAUAGUAUUCACACAUGUAAUCUGAUAUGACGUUUCAUUUUGUUCUUUUUUUUCGGCAACUGCUGCUAGUCAAGUCUUCAAAUUGCUAAGAGGGACAUCAAGAAAACUAAUGAAUUUAUGUUCUCUGGUUGAAGAACGUUCAAGAAAUCAGCUACAAUCUUCUCAUGGUUGUUAAUCUGUGAUCUGUCGUUAAUCUAGAAGUACAUAUUGGGUCCUUUGACAUUUCAAAAUCUUGGAAAGGGUGGCCAAGAGCUUGGCCGAGGCGGCAAUUACAAACACGAUGUGCCGGAGCGCCGUCCUUUGCUCCGAUUCUGCGAGGGCCGUGCUGCUGCAGAGCUCAAUCUAUCAAUUAGAGUUGGAAAAUUUCUCACAGAAGAGAGAGAGAGGAGGAAUGAGAGGGUUUCUUCUUCAGGAGUUCAAGAAUGGCGCCGAUUUUGCAGAGCUCAACCUUGGGUCGAGAAAUAGUAGAAAUUCCCUUCCGUUUCCUUCUCCCCUUUUGUGGGUUUCAUGUUUCUCUUCGUUUAAGUUCUGUUACUGCUUGGUCAAAGUACCAUAUGUGUUUUUUUU